UACAGAGGGUGCGAGCGUUGUUCGGAAUUAUUGGGCGUAAAGCGCUUGUAGGCGGCUUGUCAAGUCUCGUGUGAAAUCCCCAGGCUUAACCUGGGAAGUGCGCGGGAAACUGGCGAGCUUGAGUGCCGGAGAGGGUCGCGGAAUUCCCGGUGUAGAGGUGAAAUGCGUAGAGAUCCGGAAGAACACCAAAGGCGAAGGCACCAUCCUGGGGAGUCACUGACGCUCGGGUGCGAAAGCUAGGGGAGCGAACGGG
rnacentral:rRNA from 1 species